GUGGGGAAUAUUGGACAAUGGGCGCAAGCCUGAUCCAGCCAUGCCGCGUGAGUGAUGAAGGCCUUAGGGUUGUAAAGCUCUUUUGUCCGGGAAGAUAAUAACUGUACCGGAAGAAUAAGCCCCGGCUAACUUCGUGCCAGCAGCCGCGGUAAUACGAAGGGGGCUAGCGUUGUUCGGAAUCACUGGGCGUAAAGCGCACGUAGGCGGACCAUUAAGUCAGGGGUGAAAGCCUGGAGCUCAACUCCAGAACUGCCUUUGAUACUGAUGGUCUCGAGUAUGGAAGAGGUUGGUGGAACUGCGAGUGUAGAGGUGAAAUUCGUAGAUAUUCGCAAGAACACCGGUGGCGAAGGCGGCCAACUGGUCCAUUACUGACGCUGAGGUGCGAAAGCGUGGGGAGCAAACAGGAUUAGAAACCCGAGUAGUCC
rnacentral:rRNA from 1 species